GAUGAACGCUAGCGAUAGGCCUAACACAUGCAAGUCGAGGGGCAGCACAUGAAGUAGCAAUACAGAUGGUGGCGACCGGCGCACGGGUGAGUAACACGUAUGCAACCUACCUUCCACAGGAGAAUAACCCGUUGAAAAACGGACUAAUACUCCAUAAUACAGGGGUCCCGCAUGGGAAUAUUUGUUAAAGAUUUUUUUUCGGUAGAAGAUGGGCAUGCGUUCCAUUAGCUAGUUGGUUGAGGUAACGGCUCACCAAGGCAACGAUGGAUAGGGGAACUGAGAGGUUUAUCCCCCACACUGGUACUGAGACACGGACCAGACUCCUACGGGAGGCAGCAGUGAGGAAUAUUGGUCAAUGGAGGCAACUCUGAACCAGCCACGUCGCGUGAAGGAUGACGGCCCUACGGGUUGUAAACUUCUUUUAUACAGGAAUAAAGUGAGUCACGUGUGACUUUUUGCAUGUACUGUAUGAAUAAGGAUCGGCUAACUCCGUG
rnacentral:rRNA from 1 species